rnacentral:lncRNA from 1 species
AUUUUGUUCUUUUUGUUAGUCUUCCUUUUUGUUUUGUUUUUGUAAAAGAAGCCCUUCCAAAUGUGAAAGCAUGGGAAUUUUUACAGGAGACGUUUUAGCUUUACCUCACAACCCGGACAAGGUUCGUCUUUGGCAGAGGAUGUGCACAGUACAAAAAUGUGUUUGACUAGAAGUCAAUUUUUAUUUUGAGUGUAUAUAUAUUUUUUAAUUCAAUUGCUAUUAUUUCUUAUUCUUACUGUCAGCGUGCAGCUGCAGAUAAUGCGGUGGCUUAGACAAAUUCCUUCGUGGUGUAUGUUACAGCAUUAGAAUGAUCCCCCCACAUAUCUGGGCAAUGAAGAUGCGAAAACCAUGAAGAUGUUGGAAAAAGACAGAGGAAAAAAUUCAGGAAGGCUUGAUAAAAUGUGUUAUUUCAGUGAUUUAGGAGUCGGUAUUUCAUCUUGUCUAGCGAUUAGGUUGGAUAUUUUUCUUUUUAGAAAAUAAAGAGUAUCCUUGUGAGUCCUAAGUUCGUGUAUCCCACGUAGUUUCAUUUUUCAACAGUAUUCUGUGUUUGCAUCUCGUAUUUUAAAUGUAAAUGUUGACAUUGAAAUCAAUUACUCUUGUAAAUUAUUCUUUUAAAAGGUGAAGAGAAAAAGUUGUUCAGUGACGUAAAGUGAAAGAUGUGACUGUGUGAAGGGAAAAGCCCAAUAACCCCUGUAAACUGCAGCAUCAGACCCUAAGUAGCUGCCUCUCCAGUAGCACUGCAUUAGAGCAAACACUGCUCAAGCUGUAGUUUUUACCAGGCUUCUGUUGUGUCAGAAGUGUCUCAGCCUGGAUGUAGCCCAGAUUUGUGAAAUGCACAGCAGUAGAAUUUGAGUUUUCAAGUGAAAUAACUCUUCCUUGUCUGAACCGUCCUUCAAAAUGCGGGAUUAGAAGUUUCCUACCACAUCAUCUUUAGGACUCCCAGAAAAUUCUUCUGCAGCUUGUGGCUGCCCGGAAAAGGAUGUUGUAGUAGUCUGGCAAAAUGAACUCAAGAUGCACAAGAAGAACAUACUAGAGACUGAUCUGCAAGGUGUUCAGGUUCACUGAUAAGAUGCAAACCAGAAUCUGCCUGUUGGUUAUCUUUCCAGACAUGUUUCAGAGCUAAUAAGGGAGACUGACGAGUACCAUGACUUCAAACAGAAGCAUUUUGAGAAAUGACCUAGGGGGAGCCAAGUUACAAGUUGAACUCUAACCAAGUUAGAAGAGGAAAUAAGUGAAGAUUGGUCAUGUAUGCAAAGAAAAUGACAAGGUAUCUAAGGCAAUCACAAUUCAGAUUAAUUUCUUGCUGGUGUAGAGGUCUUCAUGGUACAUUAAUUCUGGCAAUAAACUUUAAAAAUAGUCCUUGGAAAAGAUGUUUUGAAAAGAACUUUUUUCUACUGUUUCAUUGCCAGAGUAAGUAUAUGUCUUUAUAAGUGUCUUGAAGAUACAUCUUUGAAGUCAUCAUUGUGUUGAAUUGUAGCUGUAUUUCUAGAAGUAAAUGAUGAUCGCAUUCGUGAGCUGUGUUUUUGGCAGAAGUGAGUAAAAACACUGCUUCUCCCAACACCAAAAUAAAAUCUUGCUAGACGCUGUCAAUUUCUGAGGCUUUAAAGUAAUCAUUUCAUGAAUUCAUUUAAAUCACUGCACUUGAACGCUCAGUGCACAAGUUAAACCAUUUUCUCUUUUCUUUGUCAUGUAUAACCAUUACAAAUAAAUGUGCUAGUACUUGUUUUGCUCUGUAUUUAAAGGAUGUGUUCUCUUAAGUUGUUCUGCAGAUUUGUAACUUGAGGAAUGUAAAAUCAGUACUACUGACAACUCAUAUCCCUCAAAUACUCUCAAUAACGUGCAUUUGUAAUAUUUACACAGUGGCUGCUAAGAGGCUGACACAAGGCUAUAUACCACUUAAGAUCUGAGGUUAAAUGGUUCUUCAGUGAUGCAUAAAAUUUGUAUUGAUCAUCUGCCCGGCACUGAAUUGAACCUAUUAAUGGAUAAGCCUUACAGUAUCACUAUGAGAAAGGGAAUUAUGAUCUCAAUUUAAAAAGUGGUAAAACAGAGCCCCAAGGGCUCAAGUAAUCAUUUCAAGUCGUACAGGAAGUAUAUAGCAGAGCUCUCAAUCUAAGCCAGCUCACCUGACCAACCAUCCUUGUGUUUGUUGUCCUUUUCAUCAUAUUCUGUCAGGUGUGGAAUGUGUAUGUCAACAGCUAUGCAUUCCUUAUGCACUGCUUUAACAGUCAAGUUCUCUUGCAAAGUAACUUAAAACACACAGGGAAUGUGAAUUGUGAAUCUCUCUUGUCCAUAAAGAACACGACACAUGAUGCAAAAGGGCCAGCAUAAACAACAUAAGUUGGAUUUUAAUAAGUUAAAAACAAAAUGUACAGGAAGACCUGUUGUUGUUAUGACCUCUCUAUUUUUUCUCUUUUUAAUUCUUUUCCCUUUUCUUUGCAUGGUGUUCUAGAUCUUUCUGUAGUACAGAGAGGAACUGCUUGUAUAGAACAAUUAAUGCUUUUGCUUUUGUAAUCUUGCUGAAUGUCUAUUUGAUUUCUUUAGCAAAUGUCAGGUCACAUGUUGGCUGAUUGCGUUCUGAAACUGAAGUAUAAAUCAUCUUCUCAAGUGACUAACUGUCAUUUUUCUUUGCAAAAUAUUUUUCUAUCUCUACCUUAUGUAACUCUUACAGUUGCUGACAUUUUCCUAAAAGCCCUGUUCAUUUGACACUCAAGAUUUCAGUAUAAAACUAUAGAUGAGAAUAGAUAACUCUUUUGCCUUCGCUUAGUACCUGUUUCCUUUACCAUUAGUUGAAGAAAGGAGUAUUAUGCAUUUCUGAGUCAUACUGUAUAAAGGUACUUUAUUUUAUACAUCAUUAGAAUUUUAAAAGAAGAAGAAGGAAAAGCUGUACCAUAGGUGAAAGCAAGAGUUAACAUGCUUGAACUGUAGAAAAUGGCUAUUAAAUUUUGAUGGAUGCUAUCACUGAUAGAUCAAAUAAAUGUUGAUGUAGUGAUGUAGAGGGUAUGGAUAAAAAGAUGAGUGCUACAGAAAUGGUUGUUAGUAUUAAUGGAAAACAUAUAUAAAAAUAUAUAAUCCUCAGCCAAAGACAUGGAUCUACCCAGAAGAAAAGAACAGAGUAUGGACUUCUUAUAUGCCUUGAGUUCUGUCUAUAAGAGUGCAGCCCUAUAUAGCUGUGUCUUGUCACAGAUUAAGAUUGCAUAUACUUGGCCAUGCCUUAUGUUUUAUUGUGCCCGAUUCCUGCUGGCUUAGAGAUGAUAUUCUAGUAUUAAUAAUCUGCUUUACGUAUUUAUAUGUUGGUAGAAAGCUGUUAAUGAGUAUUCCUAACAGAUCUUUUUAAUCAAACAUAAAAUGUAAGAAUUUCCUAGGAAAAAAUGGCUGCAUAACAUGGAAACAGUUGGUAUUAAAUUCCUGUUGGUGUGGCCUUUGACUCGCAGCUUCUGCUGAGUCCAGCUGAGAGAUAAAUGAGAUAAUUUUGCUGGUGUUUCAGGUCAGCACUUAUGCCAAUCUCACCAUCAUGGACAGUGAAUUCAAAUGUUUCUGAACAGCUCUGGAAAAACACAUUCAAGAAAAGCUGUGUUCCAUCUGACAGAAUGCUACUUUUAAGCACUUAGGGUGAUCUGGAAUGCCAGGACUUUGGUCCUGAGAAUUGGUCCGCUAUUCCUAAAGCAUCCAAGCUCAAAUCUUUUAGUUAAAAGUCUCUAGAUUGUUUAAAAUUUAUGGGUAGAUGCAGGGAAUUUUAAGACUCCUGAAGGAGUCUGUAGGGGUAGGUUUAAAAUGUCCAUAUAAAUACAGUCUUAAUCUCUAAAAAAACAAUCUGAAUUGAUUGAGUACUGAUGUAAAUGUAAUGUAAAAGAGGAUUGCUGUGCUUAGAAAGGGAAGUCAGAUCUUUAUCUAAAUAUCUCUGCUUUAUAAUAAGAUACAGUAUGAUAACAUGCACAGUGAACAGUUGAAAUCAGCACAGACACAUCUGAGAAGGGACACUUUAGUCACGUAAAGAAAGGUGUGAUAAGUACCUUCCUCGAAAGCCAGACUCCCUGCAGUUUAGAGCAGCCUAUUUUAUUGACAUGUGUGACAUCUCCUGAUUGUGUUUUGGGGGUUUGUAGAAUUACUGUACCCUUCUUAGCAAAGGCAGAUGUAGGAUUGGGUCUCCAAGAAACAGAUUCCAUCUAUCCAUUUACAUACCAGUCUGACCUUACCACUGAAGAUUCUUAAAGCUGGUUCAUGGACAUCAUAAAUUUGUACUCCUCAGUUCAUAAAGGUAGGGACAUAAUAUUUUACAGGUGUGGAAGUGAAACAUAGAUGUGAAUAUUUUAAGACAUAUAGCCUUGACAAUGAUACUUAAAAUCAUUCAUCAUGGAUCAGCUCAGGGAAAUAAGCAGGAUUGUAGUUUGCCUUUGAAAGUCUGACUAGUUACUAUAGCACCUGAAGAAACCAAGUGAACUGAACUUAUUUUUCUGAGAAUACUUGUACAAGAGGACAAAGAAAAUCUUGAAAAUCUGUUGUACGCUCGUGAAAUGAAUCCAACUCUCUGAAAUUUCUGAAUAUCUGAAGAACUUUUCUGUGUUCCACCUUACUCUUCUCUGAUUUGAAAACAUCUUUUUUGAGUUCUUGGAAAACUGUGCAUUUCUACUGUGUGCUGUUCUCAUUAAAUCUAUCUUUCUCUUGCUACAAGCUCUGAUGGAGGGGGACUUCCAACAGUACUCUCUCAUAGGUCCCCCACUGCAUAUUAGACAACACUGGGUCAUGAACACUAAAGUCUCCAAAGGCCUACUGGAUGAUCCCCUUUUAAGAUCUCUGGUGGUACAAGUUGUCCCAGAUUAGAAGCUAUUUGCAGGCUUCGGGAAUGUGAAGAGUAUGUCUCCCCAGUUACAUAUCUCAGGAGAUCUGCAAAGAAAAAGAGGAUGAUUAAAGUUUAUGGCUUGCAAAAGAAGGAAAUCAAGGGGAUUAUUUCUCGGUGUUCUUUUUAUGAGAUUUUUUUUUUAAAGGAAAAAUAUUUUGACUGACAGGCCUUUGAACAUGCUGUGAGUUCUGUAUUUGCAGUAAGGCCUGGAGGAACAAGCUUUUAUUUUCUACUAGAAGACUGCAGUCUUUAGCACUCUCAGUAUUAAGAUCAUUGCAGGCAGGCAUCCCUGCUGAUAUUACUAAAAGGAACUUUAAUCAAUCUUGAAAAAAGACUUCAAUAACCUGAAUUAUGGCCACUAGUGCUAGACCUUUGAUAGGAGAAUGGGUCUAGCAGUAUUGAUUUUCUCACUCUUAGCAUUUCUUCUGAUAUUUUUGCCACCUACUAGUAAUGUGUAUUUUAAUAAAACUUUAUGAACUGCCUUUUCCCAGCAAUCUUUCUGUUUUUAAGUGGAAAAUUUUUUACAUCAUUUGCAUGCUUUUUUUUCAUUUUGAAACAAAUACAAUUUUUGUGGAAGAUUGCGGAUUCCAAAACCAAUCUAAAAAUAGCAACUUCCCUCUCUAAUUAUGACACAGCCCUUUGUCAGUACUACCAGAUGGGGAAGAUGAGCCAGAAAAUAGUAUGAAUAGUCACCAGUUGUCUUCUUUCAUUUCUCUUUUUCUGUGAGAAAGCAAGAUCUUUUGCAUUUUCUUGACAUUUUAAGUGCUAGACUUUAUGUUUAGAAAAACUUAGAGCUGGUUUUGACAAAACAGCCUCGAGAGGUUUAGAGAAUUCAGAGCCUUCCAGGGACAUCAGCAGAAUUGAGAGAACUGAUAGAAAGGACCUAUGGGCUAGGAAAUCUGAUGGGGUGCACACAAGAGUGGUUUACUAUUUACAUGUAAAGAAAAAUAGGGAAAAAAAAAAGCUGAAACUACUAAUCUUGAUAAUAUUUUUCUAGAUUACAGCAAAGCUCAUAGGUGUCAUCUUGCAUAUGGCCUGUGGCCUUUUGACCUUCUGAAAGAUGGCCUUGUGGUUUCAUAGGUUAGCUCUCCAUGAUUAAGUUGUUACUGAGGAGACCGCUAACACUUUUCCACAGCACUGUUGCUGUACCUUUAUAGUGACUGCUAAAUGAUGUGGUACGUACCACAGAGACCACUGUCCAGAGGAAAGUGCUGUCAGAGAGUGAGAGAGGGUUAACCACAAAAUAUUUACAAUUUUAGCAUGCACUGAAAAAAAUAUAUAGCUGAAAACAGUAUUUUCCUUUUGCUCUCUUUGUGCAUUGUGGUUUUAGAUUGGCUGCAAAAAUGUUUCUGUAUAGUGUGGAUUGUCUACAGCAGAUGGCAAACAAUGAUUAACCAUUUCCUUCCAACUGCUCUUUAAUGGGCAGAAACCAAGGUGAACCAGUUACUCGUAUUAAAUUAAGCUGAAAAAAAUCAUGUAGUUAUGAGUGUAAAUGUUCUCAUCUAAUAUAAACUUUCCAAGAAUAGUGCAGUUGGGGCUGGAUGUCUUCUUUCAAGCUUAUUUCCAGUGGCAGAGGAUGUAAAGAACUAAAUGAUAGUAAAGUAUAAUUAUAGUUUUUAAUUUACUUUUAAAUUAUUCCAUUUUUAAGUGAAAUACUGAUUUACACAAGUGCUGGACCUCUGAACUACUUGGAUUUGCUACUGUAUCUUAACCAAAAGUAAGUUUCUUGUAUGCUGCUGAUGAGACUUAAUAUGUUUUCAUAAAAUAAAGCUUCUGUAAGAUUAGAGUGGAAGUACUGCUCUAGCAUUAAGAGCUAGGGUAAUAGGAUGCACAUCUGCUAUAUAUUCACAUUUCUAAGCUGUUCUACUUUUCGUACAUUAAGGCCAAAGGAGGCCUAGGAUAGAUGCUUGCUUUCUUUUAAUUUGAAAGCACAAAAAAAAACCCAAUACCUUCUUAAUAUUGUUAAUUUAAGAAGUAGUGUCAUCAGUGAGAUGAUAGUGAUACAGGCUGGGAGCCAGCUGUGUAGGAAUCAGUUCAGUAGAAACAGUGCUGGUAGUCCUGAUACUCAAGGUGAAUAUCAGGUAGCCAUAUGCCCUUCCAGCAGAACCAGCUUGCAUUCAGUGUUGCAUUGGCAAGACUAAAGGCAGCAGCUCUAGAAAAGGGGCCCUCUCCUUUUAGCACUUGUGAGACUCUAUUUGGAGUUCUGUGCCCAGUUCUAAGGUACAAGGUGGCAACCACCUUGCUAGCACAAGUCCAGUGGAAGGCGCCAGUACGUGGCUGGAGUACAUGGUGAACAAGGAGAGACUGAAAGAGCUGGGUCUGUACAGCUGGAGAAAGAAAGGCAGAAGGGCAACCCUACUGCUAUCUACAGCUACCUUAUUGAUGUUAGGGUAAGGAAAAGAUGGAGCCAGGCUCUUCUCGAAGGUGCCACAGAAACAGAAUGAGGGCAAACAGACACAAGCUGGAAAAUGAAAAGUUCCAGUCAGAUAUAAGGAAAAGCAUUUUACCAAAGUGUGUUGAAACACUGCAACAAAUGUCCACAUUGACUAUGAUAUCUCCAUCCCUAGAAGUAUCCAAGAUUCAUCUGGGUAUAGACUUUAGCAACUUGAUCUCAUUAGACCUGCUUUGAGGAGGAUUAGGUAUUUCCAGAGGCCUUCCGAGCUCCAUUAUUCUAUGGUUAUUAGAUUCUGUGAUAAGUAGGACCAGUUUUUUUUUCUACAUGACUCUCUCUGAAGUGAACUCAUAGCUUCAUUGAAAUCAAAUAACAAGAUUCUUAUUGACUUCGUGAUACUCUUUUGUGUGAUUUGGAGGGUUCUUUGAAAUCAAAUAAUACUUUUCAUGUUAGGAGAACUUCAGAGAAAAGCUUUUGUUUUUUUCUGAAAGUUUAUUUCACAACCAACAGAUUCCUUUAGCAUAUAUGGAUAAAGUUAUCCAUAUAGAAGAUAAAGAUUUUUUGCUCUAAAGGAGCAAAAAAAAAACCUGAUAUUUUUCUCUCAAAUUUGUACCUGUAUUCCUGUAAGCUCAAGUAUUUAAUUGACUGGCUUAAAAGUGGAGGGGAAAUUGGUGAUAGAAGAAGAGUGUCGUUCUCAUGAUCCCGAAAAUAGAAAGUAUUUCAAACCCUUGAAAUCUGUUGUCCAGCUUUGACAUUAACAAAGUAAAUCAUACAAAGAAAUAUUAUAUAAAAAGCCCAAAUCCUACUGUGAGCUUAAUUACAUUUACAUGUUUACAUUUUACAACUUCCUGUGACAAAGCGAAUAAAAUGCCGUGUGAACAGAGUGUAGUAUUAAAGCAAAUGUUCAUUUACUGUAUUUCUGAAGAGGGCAAAGAGUUAUUAAUGUUGCUUAGAUUGGCUUUUUUUAACUGCCACUUGUAAGUAGAGUGUAUAUAGCCUUUUUGUGCUAUGUUCAUAUGAUGAAAACAUCAAGGGCGUGUUUUCUCCUCUUACCCAACCCACUUUUUCUACUUUGUAAUUUUCCAUAUGCUGUUGACUACAAUAUUUUUAAUUGAGUGUGGUGCAUACAUGCCUGGAUAGUGAUAAAUCACACUGCAGACUAUGUGGCCCAUAAAAAUUUUAUGCAGCUAUGAGAAGAAGUUACUGUCAUUACAGGACCAUUUGGGGAACCAGAGUACUUGUUUCAGCAGUCUGGGUUUGAUCUUUUAAUGCUAUCAGUGUUUUGGAUGAGUGCAGAUGCAUACAUGAUGAAUUUAGAAUGUUCCGGGAAUACUAGAAAACGUCUAAAUACCUCCAGUGUUGAGGUUAAAUUCUCAGUUUGGAAAUUCUUCUACCCAAAUCUUCAUAGCAUACCUUUCCAUAAGAAGAGUCUGGAUCUAAGAAACAUCUAUCGCUAUGUUAAUUCUUAUGCACAAAGUUCCAAUGUUCACCAUUUGUUGUGAUUUCAUAGCAAUAUUAAUAAAGUAUUGUUGUUUCUUAUCCCCCAACUCUUCAGAACUUGUUUUCUUUGCAGCAUUUUCCUUGUAGUCAGGAGGGAAUUUCACAUGCUUUUAGAAAAUCUGACAAAAUACAAAAGUCAUUAGCUGGAACACAAAAAAACAAGUGGCCUAAGAGCUGUGAUUCUGAGAACAGGAAAUAUUGAUUUUGUGAUUCAGGAAGAUUUUAUUUAAUGGGGCAUUUAAACGUUUGUAUGUGAAUCUGUUCCAUGACAUACACUGCAGUUAGCAACAGCUUUUGUGUAUCAUGUCUAAUAUACCCAUACACUUCUGACAGUAUGUAUAUUCAUGAGAUUCAUAACAUUUUCCUGCAGUUGUCCUCAUAACAGAUUUCAUUUCAAAGCAGCACUUCAUUGAUGUAGAACACUGACGCAUUGUACAUAUAAUUGUUUCUCAUCUGUAUGAUUAUUUUGUGACACCUAGUGGAUAUAUUAAUAGUUGUGCCAGUUCAAAUUUCCUUGGGUUGUUUGGGUUGUCUGAAUAUACAUUCUGGCCUGCAAACUGAAUUCACAUCUUAAACACAUCGAAUCUCGGUCUUUCUUUCUUACUUUCUCUCUUUUUCCUUUUUUUUUUUUUUUUUUUUUUAAUUUUUAUUUGACUUUGAUCCUGGAAUGGUUUGGUCAUAAUCAGCUGAACAAAUACUCAGCACCCAAAAGUCCUUAGGAAAUCCCAUUAGUCCUAAAACAAUACAAGGUAGUAAAAAUUUGGAAAUGUCACGAUACUGUUAAGUCAGAGUCCCUACAUGUGCAGUGUGUGAUCUUCACCCAUCAGCUUUUUCUACUGCAUCAAUUUUUCUGUAUAGUAGAUCAAGUAUGAAGUUCCCUUUGGAGUUGAGCAUGCGUUACAUAAAAUUGUGAAAGGUUACAAAGAAGUACUCAGACUUUUCGCCCUAUGGGGGCUGUAACAAAUCCAAUUCCUUUACUGUUCAUAGAGAAUGAAAUGUGAUAAAUAAUUAAAAUAUUUUUCUAUAAACAUGAGAAUGUAUUUAGAAAAUUUAUAUCAAUAAAUGUAGUCUAGAAAUGCCUUAAACGCAUGACCCACUUUCGUGACUAAGAUAUAUCAUAUGAAGUAUAUCUUAAUUUACAUUCUGAGCCUGAAGCUUAUUUUGAAGUCAUUUGUCCUACAGGCAGAGUUGAAUUACUGUCUUGUGUAUAUACUGCAAAUGCUGGGAAAUAGGAAAGUCAGUAUUUUCAUAUGCCUGGUUUUUAUGUUCAUAAAGGGAGAGGAAGUAUGUUUUUUUGGACAGUGGCCUCAAGUCGGUUUGCUCUGUUGGUGAGUUGAUGCUGUUGGUGUGCAUGUUUAUAACUUCAUAGAUGGUAUUCCUUACCCAGUAGGUCUUAAAUUCUGGCAUACCAGAGAAGAUGCAGGGCAAUAGCUCAUAUGAUAGCUAGGGUAUGAUUUUAGUAGUUCCUAACAAGGAUCUGAAAGGAGCUGUAAAGUGCAUUUAUUUAUAAAUAAGAGAUUGUGUAUUUUUUGUACUUGGGGAAUUUGAAUUGAGUUGUCCGGAAGACAUAAAUUAUCUUUGAAGACCAUCUUCAAAAUUUUAUGUUUUACCUUGUCUCUCUUCAGGGAGAAUUUCUUAUUUCCACUCCCAAAAGGCUUCAGAAUCAGAAAACGCAGUACUGAACUGUGUCUUUAAUACCAACUGAUAUGGCAUUCUUUUCCUGUACUCUUCAGAGUUGCUUAUCAUAACAUUCCUCUUGUGACUUUGGUUUAUGUAAAAUUAGAGCCUGUAGCAACAACAUCAUGAAUAAUGGACACAAAGUUUCUAACACAUCAUUGAACGCUGGCAAAGAUCUGCUUACUCUCUACCACCUGAAGCCAUGGUUCGAGUUCAUUAAUGAAUGUUUAACUAGUGAAAGCUUUAGUCUCAAGUAAAAAGACUUAGACUGGAGUAAAUCUAUUGAGAGCCUCAGUCACCUGAGAAAACAAAAGGUUGUGCGGAGGGAGCUGAAAGCAGGCAGUGCUGUGUGUCUGGCCACCCGAGCUCCUUGCCUGCAAUUCAUGAAGGGUGUUCAUUGUGCAAACGUGUGCCGUAUCAGUGUCACUGCCCCAGUCACCCCAAGGCACUCCAGAUGCCAUGCUCAGCUCCCUUGGCACGCAUGUCUACAGCAGCUGCCCCCCUUGCACUUGACAUCAGCUUGCUAUGUUUGAAGUAUCCCUGCAGGUCAUGAUGCUGAGGGCCAGCACAGUCUGGGAUGCCUGGUCUUGCGGACUCCACAGGAUUGCUGCCACAUACAAGUUAGGGUGCAACAGCCCUGGCAAUGAUCAGCAACUUUUGGUGGUUUCCCCCCUCUCUUUUUUAAGGCUUGUGUUAUGUGAACUUAUCUAGGUCUUGGACUGGGCUUUGUGUUGGAUGGCUAACGAGACCAGUAAUUUCGUUAACUUGCGCAGUGAGUGUAUGUAUAAGCCUUCUUUCCAUUGGCAGUAACGAUAACCAGUAACAGUAACGAAUCAGAGCAGAGACAAAAGAGUUGUGGCAAAACCACCUGUGUUUCUUUUUUGAAUCAUACCACAAUUUGAGACAAUGUUGGAGAAUAACAAAGCUGUUACUGUACAUAGAGGUCAUCUGCUGGUAGCCAAAGAAAAACACUAAUUGAAAGAUAAAAGGCAUCUUAAUCAUUAGCAGCAUUGUUACCAGUAAAUUCAUUGAGGUUGCCAGGAGUCGUAGAUGUGAGACGUAAGGCCCAGUUCAGGCUCCAAAAGGAAGGCUAAGGGAGGGGACAAAAGACAGAACAUGAGCCAGACACAGCUGUGUCAGAAGCUAUCACAUCUCCAGAAGUUGAGGCGUGCAUGCAGCCUUCAGCUGUGUGAGUGGGCAGGCUCAGCAGAGGCCUUUGCUUCCAUGUCCCUUAACAGGUGGAGUUCUCUCAUUGUCACCUGAUACGCCAUGGAAAGAUGAAGCCUCAUCGCUCUCUGUGCUUAGUAUCCCCUUCCAGUGUAUUUCGGCACUGAUGUCCCCACAGAAGUCUCCCAUGGGUGAAGGUGGUACGUUAAUGCAGCAUGCUUCACUGGUGGGAGCUUCUUGCUGCAGCCUCACAGUGUUAGUUUGGUCCCUUGUUGAAACAGUAGUAGUCCUUACACAGACUGUGCUGGCUUUGAAUUUAGAACUAUUUAGGAUUCUAAACAAUGAUGCGGAUUGAUUGCAGUCCGGCACAGUCAGUGUAAAUACUUCUGCUUUUGCAAGUGAACUUUUUGUUCAGGUGUGUAGCCUCCAGAAAGAAAAAUACAAGUAACGAGAAAUAACCAGCCCAGUGCAGUUACGGUUUGCAAGGACUGCACAAGGAUUUUCUCUGUCUUAAUGUAUGUAGAUUUCCAGGCUUCUUCUUCUUCACCAUCAGGAUGAACCAAGCGCAGCAGCUCAAGCCAAAUACAGCCCGAACCUCGGAACGUUGUUCUGAGGUGGAAUUUAUUUUUUUUUAAGUGCUUGGCAGCAUUACUCAAAAUAACUGUUUGUGUUAUGGCCAAGUAUAUAGCAAGGUGGGUUGGAAGAUACUGGUCCUGGUUGUUCCUGCAGUUGGACUUGCUAUUUCCACGGGGAUCUGAGAAAGGUGUGUUUUUUGAAGAGCUGGGCAUCACUUACAAGUAAAAGAUAGGGUGUGUAGUUUAGGUGUUAUAUUUUAUGUUCAAAGAUAUUAAGCAAAUCCGGGUGACUUAAGCUGAGGAGACAGUUCUUCCAAAAAAAAAGAAAAUCCAAUAAUCAACAACCUAUAAUAAAAAUACUGUGGGGGAAGGGAGUCAUUGGUAUUUCGUUUUUCUAUCAUCUGUGUGCAUGUAGUCUGAGAUAGUGCAUGGAGAUGAAUUACGAAUGUUUAGGAAAUGCUUGCUGUUAAGGGAGGAGUUAUAUACACAUUUUGUUCUUUGCUAUCUCUGACAAGAGAAAAUAACACUGACACAUUUUCUUAGCUCUUAACAAGAAACAAUCCCUAAUUUGUCACAGCUUCACCUCCUCUUCCUGCAGAGACUCAUCUCCCUGAUAUCCAGCCCUUGCUUUUUUACCUUCAUGCUUGGUGAAAUGUGAAGAGUACCUGUAACAUUUGUUUUUCGUAAGACAUAUCUCACUUACUCCUGGUGGAUUUGCCCUUCCUACACAGGUUUUGUCUCCCGUGGAUGCUGGCUUCACCCCAUUUUUCCCAUUGGGAUCUGCCAAACUUCAUUUCUGCCCUUGAGAGCUAGGAAGCACAGCCCAGGGUGAGAUGCUGCUGCUGCUCCCACAGCUGUCCAUGUCACGCCCGGCAGCCAUCUUAGGCUGGACAGAAAGCCCACCAGGGCCAGCACAGCACAUCAGCUGGUAAGUGAGCAGACAGAAGAAUUAUGCUAGGAAAACAUCAAGGGCAAAUAUUUAAGUUGUACAAACAAAUAGCUCCUAAUACACUAAACAGUUCUGCUUCCUUAUGGAGUUUAUUUAAAAUUAAAAAGCCAAGUGUCUCCCUAAAUACUGAUUUGCUGAAGAAUACGAGUGCAACACACAAAGUAGCCAGUAGUUAGCCCUGGUUUAACUUCUCUUUUUAUGGAAGCUUUGGGAGAUGCUGAGUGUUUUUAUCAUUCUGGGUAGCUUUUUUUUUUCUUUUAGCAUUUGGAGUAUUACAUAAGCAGAACUCGGAAAUAAAUGUAGUAGAAGAGUAAAAUGUCCGUGUAAGUGCUACAGUUUGCAUAAACAGAAGGCAUGAUCCGACACUGAAGAAAAAUAAGGUGCUGCUUUGAUAGAAAAUGAUAUUUUUCCCACUACAGCCCUUUGGAAGCAUCUGUUUAACAUUCAAGACUUUUCACAUCAGUCAGGCUAAGAAAUGCCUGAUGUACAUGUGUGGAACGUGUCUGUGAAGGUGCAGAACCCCUGUGUUGUACACACAGCCCCAGCUCCUUGUCUUUAAUUCUAGCCAGAUUCUUAUACACCCAUUCAGUAGAUUAAGGCAGCAGUUAUUAAGCAUGUUCCAUUUUUAUGUGGCAUUGUAAACCUUUUAUGAAAUGUUAUAUAAGCUUUCAUUUUUGUGGAGGAAUUUAACUGAAGCUAGCGUGAGUCCACAUAAGAGUAAGGAAGCCUUUAUACAGGUGUGCAGUUGUAAGGCUGCAGUGUGUCAGAUGUGAUUAUUUACACUGAUGUAUGUUUUUACAUGCUGUUGCCAUUUUUUUCCCCAUAUAUAGAAUGUUCAAGAUUUUAGGAACAUCCAUAAAUUAUUACAGAGCUCGGAGACACGUAUUCCACAGAGUUCUGGUGUAACUGCUACUUUCUGCCAAAUUUUUCUGAACAGUUUGAUAAAGAAAAUGGUUUCAGUGACUACGUGAAAUUAUUUAAUAGAUAGCACUAUGUUACAGUACCUAUAAUGUUCUGUGCAAUAAUAAGUUAAAAGGUUGGACAAAAUAAUGUGACUGGUUUUAAUAGGAUUAGGGCUCACUACAGUCAGUUGCUUCUAAAUUGUGUUCUAAUGUGAAAUUUAGACAAACAACUGAGUGCAGUAGACUUGGUGCCGUGAAUAUUUCCUAUUGUGCCCCUCUGAAGCUGCAGCAGAAUCUGUCCUAAUUUAUUUAAUUAUGGUAACGUUUUACAAUUUGUGAAAGAACUGUUGCUGCCAAUCUUAGAAGCAGCUGUGUUUCAGUAAUGGAUUAAGUCUCUAUAUACAUCAUAUUUCACAGGAGUUGCAAAACCUGUGUUUGUAAAAUAUUUUUCAUUUCUUGAAGGAUGUAACCAAUAUGAAUGAAGUGUGUUUAUUUUUGUUAUAUUUACUUAAAAAUACACCUGGAAAUAUUGUAUGUGAACUUUAUUAUAUGUAGGUCCCAGGAGAUGAUCCUUCUCUCCUCCAACUAGCUUCUGUCUGAAAUCUUCCAAACAGUUACCUUACGUGGUAAUGCUCUGUCUGGCUUGACAGGGCGAUGCAGCAGCUUCAUUUUCUGCUCAGAGUCUGUUGGAUUCAGUCAGAAAGCUUCCCUUGGUCUCAGCAUCCGCUGUAGCAGAGCCUCCGCGAUUUACUUUGCAACCACUCUCACCAGCAAAAGUUUGUGACAUUUAUAAUAGUGAAUAAACAGCGGGGGCACAGUGGUGACUGGACACCACUUUGGAAGCCAGAAAAUAAUCAUUAUGUAGAAACAAGCUGGAAGCCACUGAUGUGACCUGCACGCAGCCCCUCAGCCUUGCAGGGUCCCUUGGGGUUUGCCUUGAGCCGCACAUUUCCCCACUGCGGUCAGUGUGCACUUGCUCACAUGUGCUCCUAGGGCAUUUGCCUUCCUCCUGGGAGCACAGGUAGGUUUUGCAUUUGCAAAUCAUUCCCAGUUCUUGGGUGGAAGGUGCUCCAAAAAUCGCGGAGUGCUCGUUCUCUGUUGUCCCAGGGUUUGCUAAUUAUUAAGGCUUUUAAUUAUAUAACAAUUCAACUUUAAAACUGUCAUAGAAAUAGCAGAGUUGGCUCCGCACCUUUUUAAUAGCGACUGCUGAGGUAUUUAUUAACAUCUGUUCCAAUCCAUUUUUCACUGAACACUGAGGGUUAGAAUAUGGAAAUGUCAUAUUUUUCUUAGUAUUAAACAGUUGCUGAACUAGAAACAUAACUCUUGCCAGACAGUUAUUUUGUAUGCAUGUCUUCUUCAUAGAAAAUGAACAUGCACUUUUCUUUCAUUAAGUAUUUUAAAGUUCAUCCUUGUUUUGUGACCUAAUCAGUUGAAGUGAGUUUAUGAGCGGCUUGUGAGAGCAGAAGAAUAAUUAAUUUUAAGUGUUGAAUAAAGCACAUUCUUUUCCAUUUUUGUUUGCUAAUGAAUACUUUAAACUAUUCAUACCCACAAUAACAGAUCUUAUAUAAAACAGAACAACAGAAAGCUUAUAGCACUUUAUAAAUAACCAUCUCAACGUUCAUGAACUAAAUUGCUACUUUUUAUGUGGCAGAUUGUAUAUUAAGGCAAUAUUAUACCAGAACUUCACGUAUGGAAAUAGAUCUUUAACAUUAUCAAAAGCUUAGCUGUAUUUAGUAGAAAAUAAGUGAAUCCUUUUGAAAUGUUUCUUAAAAAUGCACCAUUUUACAUCAAAAGGGUGAACAUUUUUCCAUUCUCCCAACGAGAACUGCAUCCGUGAGUGAAAGUAAAGCCGAGGUAUGCUACAGGUAGGCAGCGAUGUACAUCACUGCAACAUGCUUAGCUUUCCCAAAUUUUGCCACUGUUUGAUUCUGUAUUUUCACUUCUGCCAUUGGAGUCACUGGAGUCGCUUCAAGUUUAGGAUCUUCAUCUGACAUUUCCAGUGAUUUGGGUCUGCUGAGGAGCUUGGGCUUUUCACUGCUGUGAAUAUAUCAUUUUAAUGGCUUUGAACUGUUUUCACCGGACUAUCCAGCAUAAAGAGCAGCUCCGCUGAAGGGUUACUUUUUUUCCUUCUUUCACCCUAAAGGAAAUGCUUAUUCAGAAGUCUCACUUUGAAGUAAAACACACAAUACGCAGCUUUCCUCCAAUUAUGUUAUAUAAUGCUGAUUUCUAUUUAUAUAAGGAUAGGGUUUGUUUUAAAGCGGAAGCCCUUUCUGUGAGGUGACUGCACAGGCCACGGGUACUCACUCACCUGGCAGUACCAAGAUUCACCAGCUUCCACACUGAAUUUUAGCCAAGGCUCCAGUACAAAUUGUGAACUCCUAACACUCAGAUCUCUGACCACACACAUAAAGAUGUUUAGUUUUAAACAUUUUAUCUAAAAAAACAGGGACAGAAUAGUUCUGUGUUUGUUUGCUUGUUUGUUUGUUUGUUUUCCAGAGGAUUAUUCAGAAAGUAACUGGCUUUGCCAAAAAAGCUCACACUCAGAAAAUGCUGAUUUUUUUUUUAAACCCUUGAGUAUAUGGAGAAGACUGUGGAGCUUUCUGCUGCAGAACUUUCCAAAUGGCUUCCUUUGACAGUGGUUAGAAAGCAGCUUCUGCUACCAGUAGUUAUUAGUUAAAGAGGUUAUCUAGUUAAAGGGGUAAUCUAGUAGUUACUAGUUAAAGAGGAAAUCUCUUUUGCUACUCUUUUUGUAUUGUAUACGAAGAAUGUCUACUUUGACCUUCAGUGCCAUUGGUGUCGCAAGUUGUGAAACCAGGGUUGUACAAUGUUUUCUCCAUUAUGGUCGUCUCAGAGGGGACAGUUGCACUGUUGCAGUUUGGUGUCACACAUAUGUCCCCUGUACAGCUCGCAGCAAUCUGUAACCUCUUCCUACAGGUGGCCUCAGUCCAGUGUAGUUAGUUUGAAGCUAACAGUGUAACAUUGCUUGUUAUAGAUUAACACAUUGCUAUCUAAUUUGGUUAGUCAUUUGCAUUCUCCUUCCUUCUCUAGUUCCUUUAAAAGUGUGUUUUUCCCAGAAAGUGAAGAAGCAAAUACCUCAAUAAGUCAAUCUAAAAAAAAACCUAAAAAAACCCCCAACGUUUUCUGUUUUUCACAGCUCUUUGUCUCUUGCCUGUCUUUUUUCAGAUUAGGGGUGCCCCCUGGGCUGAGGUGUGAUGGGAUAACAACAACGGAAAGAGAAAUCUGGUGCUGUGAAUGGCCCUCUGAGAAAAUUGAUUAUGCUAUGAGCAGUGGAAGAUCCCAUCGGUUGCUCUGAAACGUGACCUACCUACUUUGAGGUGAGAUCUGUUUUGUUGUAAAGCAUGGCUUUAGUUUUUCUGUGUGUAUCAUGGAUUCUUGUCUUUAAUUUGCAGUUAACAACAACAACAAAAAAGUUUUCCUUAGUGAAGAGAAGGCUCCGGGGAGACCUCAUAGUGUCCUUCCAAUACUUGAAGGGAGUACCCCUGUUUACAGGGGUAGAUAGUGAUAGGGCAAGGGGAAAUGGUCUUAAACUGAGACAGGGGAGGUUUAGGUUAGAUAUUAGGAGGAAGUGUUUCACACAGAGGGUGGUGAUGCACUGGAACAGGUUGCCCAAGGAGGUUGUGGAUUCCCCAUCCCUGGAAGCAUUCAAGCCCGGGCUGGAUGUGGCUCUGGGCAGCCUGGUCUGGUGGCUGGCGACCCUGCAUAUAGCAGGGGGGGUGAAACUAGAUGAUCUUUGAGGUCCUUUUCAACCUAGGCCAUUCUAUGAUUCAGUGAUUCUAAGUUAGCUUAUUAAGUUGGAGUAUUUGUUUGAAAUUUUAUUUAUUUAUAUUACAGGUAUGGACUGAUAUCAUAGUUUUUGUCACUUAUUUGGAUUUUUCCUGAGUGCGAUGUGUUGCAGUCCAUCAGACCAGGUGGUGGGGAGUGAGAGCACCCUCAACCUCUAGUGUUGGUGUGAGGUUACAGUACACUAGUGGCAAUUUUGCUAGUCAUAUUAACCAACGUCUGUGUAGUACAGUAGAGUACAUUUAGUUUAGCCAUUGAUUCAGUUGUGAGGUACUGUCCUUUAGAAGUAGCAUGUUGCUUAAGUAAGCCGUAACACUUUCUGACAGUCACCAAAUUCUUGGUUCAGUCUUAUAGAUUUACCCAUGCAGAACUUGGGAAAGUCAGUAAGAGCAACUGAGCUGUUCCACACUAGGAUAAGAGAGGAAUACCUAGAAGGCAAUGCAGAACAAAUCCCUCUAAUUCAGCAUUUAUUCUCUAAGUCACUGUGAUGCCUUUCUUGAAGUGACAAAACUGGUUUGUUAAGAUGCAGUCGUGUCAGAGCUGGAAGUACAAAAGUGCAUUUAUUAAAAAUGAAUUCUGUAUCCUCUUCCCUCUUGUGUAUCUUGUCACUGACAUGACUCCACACACUGCAAAUCUGUGAAACUUUUAAAACAUGAAACUAGAGCUCAUUAAGCAAAAUGUCAACUGGUGUAUAGCAAACUCUUUCAGAAUGAAGACUGAUAAUUUUUUGUCUCCAGAGUUUUUUGUCUUCUAGGUCAUCACCAAGCCAUCCAGCUUUCUGGGAAUAUAGUUUGUGGUUUCUGUGAUCGGAGUCUGACUGUCC